AUGCUCCCACACUGCCUUGUCAUAAUCAACCACCUCAGAAUAAGGACACAACCAUAAAUCAUUUAACAGCCUCCCAAUAACGCACCAGGUAUCCUCAGGCUUAGAGUUCAUCUCAGGAUGUUAAUCCCAUAAUAAACAACUUUCAGAUGGAUAAAUGAUUGUACGGUGAAAUAGCAAAUGGCAGUAAAAGAGAGAAAGUCAGCGCUUCUAAAUAGCUCCCCAAGGGCUUCCUUUCCAUUUUAGCCACUGGAUUCUGUAGAUUAAGAGAGCAACCUUUGAAAAGCCUCAUACAGGCAGUGCUACCAGUUUUGGUAAUAACGUACUUUACACAGAAAAGCUUUUGUCUGAAGAGUUCCGAUGAUUCCAUAGUACAGUAUUGCACCCACUCAGUAUUUCUCCCAGCCUCUGCUCACCAGCUGCCUGAACAGGCAGAUCUCGGCUGUCUCGGAGAGUUGCUGGGAUACUUACUGGUUUUUCGUUUUGUUUAGUAGAAAAACAGGUUAAAAAAAAACAAUCUCGCUGCUCAGGGGCAGCUGCGCUGCACAGAAGUCAGUCAUCUCACGGAUGAAUUUAAAUGGUGAAGUCUGGCUGUAAACUGGAGAAGCACACAUCCAGCCCUUCUCAAGGGCUCCACAAACCACCCUCUGCAGCUCGCGUCCCCAUUCGUCAAGGACUGGCCACGCAUCCUCGCCCUGACCGUGAGUUCCUCACUCACCCAGCUGAGCCAGUCCCCGCUCCCCUUCUCUUUCCACCCCCAAGCCUUCUUCCUGCCCUGGGAUGCACCCAUAGACCUGCCAGGGGCUCUGGGGGUCUCCCUCCAUUCCUAGAGUGACUUCUAGAGAUGGGAUGGAAACCUGGGGGACAGGGCAAGAAUGGUAUCCGGGUGCUUUCUGCGGGCAGCAAGGAUCCUACCUGAGAUAUUCCAGCUGCCUCUUGUCCUGAAGGAGGUGGAGACCAUUUUCCCCCAGCCCUUCCUGGCCCUCCUCUUGCAAGCGUCCUUCACCACGGAGCAGACGGAGCAGGAGGUGGAAAUCUUCUGGGUGGAGCACCAGCAGGGCCAGCUCACUCCCAGCAGGUCCGCGGUGCGGGCCUUGAAGCUGCUGCUCUGCAGCGGGGCGGCUGGGACGCGCUUCUCAGCGCCGUGACCCACCUCCAGGGUGUGCAGGUGGUGGCCAGGGUGAUGAGGGAACUGCCUGGAGCUCUGCGUGCCCCCAUCUUCCACCAGCUGGUUGAGCUGCUCAGCAACAGCUUUUACUCCUGGGAGAUGGUGGCCAUAGUCUUCCUCACUGAGGCAAGGACAAUGCUCAUCUUCCUGCAGUGCAUCACAGAGCAGCUGCAGGAUGCAGACAGCGACGCCCAUGCCAUUGUACUGCCAAUACUCAGCAACCUGCUGCAGCUCCUGGAGGGCGAUGAGCUCAGCCUCAUGGCUCUGGAGCUGGCCAGCAAGCUCCCAGCGCUCUUUAAUGAGAUAAGGAUGGGAGGGAGCCCAGCACACUAAGGAUUUGGCAACGACCCCAGUGUGCCCAUGCCUGCUGCCCUGUGACAGCACACCAGGGAACUUCCUGGCUGGUCGCCUGUUCCAGGCUCUGUGUGUCCCUGGGCAGACUUCCUGCAGGGCAGAGCUUGUGCACUUUGGAGCAGUUUUGGGGCCAUCCUCAAGAUCUGCCUGCAGCCUCUCAGCUCAGAGAUUCUGCUCCCAUGUGGUUGGCGGUGCUGGCCCUGCUCCGUUGGGCUUGGAGCUGCUGACACUGACAUCCUUCCCUCCUCCUCCACAGGAGUCCAGCACGGUGUGGCAGCUCUCCAUCCACCUCUUCCUCGAAACGCUGAGCUUUGUGGAGGGCACAGGAAAGAGGAAGAUGAGGAAGGAGGUGUACAGGAGCCUGGUCCUGCUGCAUUUGCACCUGCACAAUGAGGAAGAGAGCGUGGUCGAGGUGGGAAUUGCGUUCAUUUGGGGGAGGGCGAUGCUGGCCCCGUGGUGCCCCCCAAACACCAAGAGUAUUGCAGCCGGUGGCAGCGUCAGCCCCUGCUGCUGCAUCCUCCCUGCGGAGGGGCUCUGGGGGCUCUGGAGGGGCUCUGCAAGCACACAGCUGUCAUCGUGCCUCUGUUCCUCUGUUACCUCAGGCCUUCAGAGAGUGCAGCAUGACCCCAGUCCAUCCGUCUCUUUGCUGGCCCUUCAGACACUGAAGAUCCUGAAGGAAACGAGGCCACCUCCACCACCGAGAGACUCUGGGCAGCGCUCCUCCAGGCUCCGCAGCGCGUGGAGGAGGUGCUGCUCCUCCCAGGCAGACAGCUGAGCACCCUGGAAAGCUCCCGGCAUCUCCUCCUGCCCGCUGCUCAGCUCCGCUCCUCGGGCACAUCCCUUCCCCGUUGCUGUGCCGCUCCUCAGCCCGCGGUGCCAGCUACUUCAGCACCAUUGCCUGUCUUCUCUCGGUGGGAAACGGGAAAACAACCCAGGAGAUCAGCACUGCCCGGAGAGGGACGGGACGUGCAGCGCUCCCUGCCAGCACCACACGCUUUCGGUCACUGCCAGCAAAGCACCAGCUGCUCUGCCGGGCUGCAAAACGGGAUGAUUAAUAAAGCUGGUGAAUUUUACA